AUUGAACGCUGGCGGCAGGCCUAACACAUGCAAGUCGAAUGGUAACAGGAAACCGCUUGCUGUUUCGCUGACGAGUGGCGGACGGGUGAGUAAUGUCUGGGAAACUGCCUGAUGGAGGGGGAUAACUACUGGAAACGGUAGCUAAUACCGCAUAACGUCGCAAGACCAAAGAGGGGGACUUUCGGUCCUCUUGCCAUCAGAUGUGCCCAGAUGGGAUUAGCUAGUAGGUGGGGUAACGGCUCACCUAGGCGACGAUCCCUAGCUGGUCUGAAAGGAUGAACAGCCACACUGGAACUGAGAAACGGUCCAGACUCCUACGGGAGGCAGCAGUGGGGAAUAUUGCACAAUGGGCGAAAGCCUGAUGCAGCCAUGCCGCGUGUAUGAAGAAGGACUUCGGGUUGUAAAGUACUUUCAGCGGGGAGGAAGGGAGUAAAGUUAAUACCUUUGCUCAUUGACGUUACCCGCAGAAGAAGCACCGGCUAACUCCGUG
rnacentral:rRNA from 1 species